GAUGAACGCUGGCGGCGUGCCUAAUACAUGCAAGUCGAGCGAACGGACGAGAAGCUUUCUUCUCUGAUGUUAGCGGCGGACGGGUGAGUAACACGUGGAUAACCAACCUAUAAGACUGGGAUAACUUCCGGAAGCCGGAGCUAAUACCGGAGCAUAUUUUGAACCGCAUGGUCCAAAAGUGAAAGACGGUCUUGCUGUCACUUAUAGAGGGAUCCGCGCUGCAUUAGCUAGUUGGUAAGGUAACGGCUUACCAAGGCAACGAUGCAUAGCCGACCUGAGAGGGUGAUCGGCCACACUGGAACUGAGACACGGUCCAGACUCCUACGGGAGGCAGCAGUAGGGAAUCUUCCGCGAUGGGCGAAAGCCUGACGGAGCAACGCCGCGGGAGUGAUGAAGGUCUUCGGAUCGUAAAACUCUGUUAUUAGGGAAGAACAUAUGUGUAAGUAACUGUGCACAUCUUGACGGUACCUAAUCAGAAAGCCACGGCUAACUACGUG
rnacentral:rRNA from 1 species